AUUUAUCCUAGGUCAAACAAGGUCAAAGGACCUUAGACAAAUUUUUUCAUGAUUUUUGAAAAGUCAUAAGUAUUUUUAAAUAAUUAAAAAUAUGUACAAAAACAAUUAAUUCAUAAAAAAUAUCAAAAUUAAUCCAAAAAAUAAUUUUAAUUCAGAAAAUGAAAGAGGAAAAUAUUUAAAGAUUUUUGGUGAAAGUCCCAUAUUUUUUGGAUUAAAAAUAAAAUUAAUAUGAAUUAAUCAAAAUAAAAGGAUUAAAU
rnacentral:lncRNA from 1 species